GAAGCCUGAAAUGUGGCAAAAGGUUGAAAAGUAAUGAGGUGGGAGACGAGGAUAGAAUGAGGUGGGAGACGGGGAUAGAAUGAGGUGGGAGACGGGGAUAGAAUGAGGUGGGAGACGGGGAUAGAAUGAGGUGGGAGACGGGGAUAGAAUGAGGUGGGAGACGGGGAUAGAAUGAGGUGGGAGACGGGGAUAGAAUGAGGUGGGAGACGGGGAUAGAAUGAGGUGGGAGACGGGGAUAGAAUGAGGUGGGAGACGGGGAUAGAAUGAGGUGGGAGACGGGGAUGUAAGGAUGUGGGAGACGAGGAUGUGAGAGACGAGGAUGUAAGGAUGUGAGAGACGAGGAUAGAAUGAGGUGGGAGACGGGGAUAGAAUGAGGUGGGAGACGGGGAUAGAAUGAGGUGGGAGACGAGGAUGUAAGGAUGUGGGAGACGAGGAUGUAAGGAUGUGAGAGACGAGGAUGUAAGGAUGUGAGAGACGAGGAUGUGAGAGACGAGGAUGUAAGGAUGUGAGAGACGAGGAUAGAAUGAGGUGGGAGACGGGGAUAGAAUGAGGUGGGAGACGGGGAUAGAAUGAGGUGGGAGACGGGGAUAGAAUGAGGUGGGAGACGGGGAUAGAAUGAGGUGGGAGACGAGGAUGUAAGGAUGUGGGAGACGAGGAUGUAAGGAUGUGAGAGACCAGGAUGUAAGGAUGUGAGAGACGAGGAUAGAAUGAGGUGGGAGACGGGGAUAGAAUGAGGUGGGAGACGGGGAUAGAAUGAGGUGGGAGACGAGGAUGUAAGGAUGUGGGAGACGAGGAUGUGAGAGACGAGGAUGUAAGGAUGUGAGAGACGAGGAUAGAAUGAGGUGGGAGACGGGGAUAGAAUGAGGUGGGAGACGGGGAUAGAAUGAGGUGGGAGACGGGGAUAGAAUGAGGUGGGAGACGGGGAUAGAAUGAGGUGGGAGACGAGGAUGUAAGGAUGUGAGAGACGAGGAUGUAAGGAUGUGAGAGACGAGGAUGUAAGGAUGUGAGAGACGAGGAUGUAAGGAUGUGAGAGACGAGGAUAGAAUGAGGUGGGAGACGGGGAUAGAAUGAGGUGGGAGACGGGGAUAGAAUGAGGUGGGAGACGAGGAUGUAAGGAUGUGGGAGACGAGGAUGUAAGGAUGUGAGAGACGGGGAUAGAAUGAGGUGGGAGACGGGGAUAGAAUGAGGUGGGAGACGGGGAUAGAAUGAGGUGGGAGACGGGGAUAGAAUGAGGUGGGAGACGAGGAUGUAAGGAUGUGGGAGACGAGGAUGUAAGGAUGUGGGAGACGGGGAUGUAAGGAUGUGAGAGAUGGGGAUAGAAUGAGGUGGGAGACG